AUAUAAGUAAGCGGAGGAAAAGAAACUAAAUAGGAUUCUCUUAGUAAUGGCGAAUGAACAGGGAAAAGCUCGGCAUGUAAAUUGGGGCAUCAGCCUUGAAUUGUAGCCUCGAGAAGCAUUACUAACAUGGGCGUGGAUGCAAGCUUCUUGGAAUAGAACAUUACCAUGGGUGAGAAUCCUGUGUGUCAUCUGUAGUCCUGUGUGUACGGUAUGCUUUCUCAGAGUCACGUUCCUCGGAAUUGGAGCGCAAAGUUGGUGGUAAAUUUCAUCUAAAGCUAAACAAUGGCUUGAGACCGAUAGCGCACAAGUA
rnacentral:rRNA from 1 species